rnacentral:rRNA from 1 species
CCUACGGGUGGCAGCAGUGAGGAAUAUUGGUCAAUGGACGAGAGUCUGAACCAGCCAAGUAGCGUGAAGGAUGACUGCCCUAUGGGUUGUAAACUUCUUUUAUAAAGGAAUAAAACGAGGCACGUGUGCCUUUUUGCAUGUACUUUAUCAAUAAGGAUUGGCUAACUCCGUGUCCGCAGCCGCGGUAAUUCGGAGGAUCCGAGCGGUUUCCGGAUUUAUUGGGUUUAAAGGGAGCGUAGAUGGGGUGUUAAGUCAGUUGUGAAAGUUUGCGGCUCAACCGUAAAAUUGCAAUUGAUACUGGCAGUCUUGAGUACAGUUGAGGUAGGCGGAAUGCGGGGUGUAGCGGUGAAAUGCUUAGAUAUCACGAAGAACUCCGAUUGCGAAGGAAGCUUACUAAACUGCCACUGACAUUGAUGCUCGAAAGUGUGGGUAUCAAACAGGAUUAGAUACCCCUGUAGUC